rnacentral:rRNA from 1 species
GACGAACGCUGGCGGCGUGCCUAAUACAUGCAAGUCGAACGCAGUGGGGACGGGUGAGUAACACGUGGGUAACCUCCCAUCAGAGGGGAUAACACUUGGAAACAGGUGCUAAACCGAUACUGAUGGAUGGACCCGCGGUGCAUUAGCUAGUUGGUGAGGUAACGGCUCACCAAGGCCACGAUGCAUAGCCGACCUGAGGGGGGGAUCGGCAAAAUGGGGACUGAGACACGGCCCAGACUCCUAGGGGAGGAAGCAGUAGGGAAUCUGCGGAAAGGGACGAAAGUCUGACCGAGCAACGCCGGGUGAGUGAAGAGGGUUUUCGGAUUGUAAAACUCUGUUGUUAGAGAAGCGGUAUCUAACCAGAAAGCCACGGCUAACUACGUGCCAGCAGCCGCGGUAAAC